rnacentral:rRNA from 1 species
AUUGAACGCUGGCGGCAGGCCUAACACAUGCAAGUCGAGCGAGCGGCGGACGGGUGAGUAACGCGUAUCCAACCUUCCCAUUACUGUGGGAUAACCUGCCGAAAGGCAGACUAAUACCGCAUAGUAAUGGAUGGGGAUGCGUCUGAUUAGCUUGUUGGCGGGGUAACGGCCCACCAAGGCGACGCUCAGUAGGGGUUCUGAGAGGAAGGUCCCCCACAUUGCAACUGGGACACGGUCCAAACUCCUACGGGAGGCAGCAGUGAGGAAUAUUGGUCAAUGGACGGAAGUCUGAACCAGCCAAGUAGCGUGCAGGAUGACGGCCUAUGGGUUGUAAACUGCUUUUGUAUGGGGAUAGGUACCAUAUGAAUAAGGACCGGCUAAUUCCGUGCCAGCAGCCGCGGUAAUUC